GGAGAGGUCGCAUAGUGGCCUAGUGCGCGCGCCUGGAAAGCGCGUAGGGUGAAAUCCCUCGUGGGUUCGAAUCCCACCCUCUCCG
rnacentral:tRNA from 1 species